rnacentral:misc_RNA from 1 species
UAGGAGAUUCGGACAAUGACAUCGCUAUAAUGUGAUUGCGGUAAAAGUCGAACGAGUUUUGAUAGAAGAAAAUCAACAGGUAGAACAUAUUAUAGUUUGUUAAUUUGCAGUGAAAUAAAAGUAUAGCAUAACCUAUUUUAGGUUAGUCUAAGAAAUAGAAGAAACGAGAUACAAGACAAUUAAUUUGAUCUUAACAAGCUGUGAUAGAUUUGUUAGAUCAAUAAAGGCAUAACAUUAAGCUUCCUUAUCGGUAAAGCGCGCGUUGUGAUUAAAAUUUCUUAUAGGCCGAAGACUAGCCAAUAGGAAGCGCGUGCUGUUACGUCGCUGACAUAUGAUGGCGGCUGAAGUCGAGUGGAUUCUGAUAGAAAUAUUUCAAAAGAAUAACAUGACAUAAUUGUGUGUUGUUAUUAUAGUUUUUUUAUUUGAAAUAAAAUAAAAGAUAACCUAUUAGUUCUAGUUAUGAUGAUCUUGAGGAAUAGAAGAAACAAGAUACAAGACAGUUAAUUUUUGACAAGAUGAUCAUUUCAAGAUUAAGAACAAAUCUAUACAACAGAAUAACUGUUUUCAGAAUUCGUCAAUGUAUAAGGAGUAUAGCAAAUGAUAGUAAUGACAAUAACAAGUUUGACGUUAUUGUCGUGGGAGGAGGACAUGCAGGAACCGAAGCCUGCACUGCUGCUGUUAGAAUGGGUGCUAAAACUUUAUUAGUUACGCAUAAAAAAAGUACAAUCGGAGAAAUGUCGUGUAAUCCAUCCUUCGGUGGAAUAGGAAAAGGAAACCUUAUGAGAGAAGUUGACGCUUUAGACGGAAUUUGUUGUCGCAUAUGUGACAUCUCUGGAAUCCAUUAUAAAAUAUUAAAUAGAAGUAAAGGCCCAGCUGUUUGGGGCCUUAGAGCACAGGUGGAUAGAAGUUUAUACAAACAACAUUUGCAGGCAGAACUUUUCCAAAUGCAGGGUUUAGAUAUAUGCGAAUCAUCUGUCGAAGAUCUCAUAUUAGAAGGAAGUCCACCGGAAUGUCGUGGCAUUAUUCUUCGAGAUGGAACUAGAAUAUUGAGUAAUGCAGUAGUCAUAACAACGGGUACUUUUCUCAAAGGUGAAAUUAUUAUUGGAUUAGAGAAGAGACCUGCUGGAAGAAUGGGGGAUGAACCUAGUAUUGGAUUAGCUAACACAUUGGAUCAACUUGGCUUUAAAAUGCAACGACUUAAGACUGGUACUCCGCCAAGAUUAUUAAAAUCAACAAUAGAUUUUUCUAAAUGCGAGAAAAAUUUCCCGGAUGAAGUUCCCGAACCAUUUUCGUUUAUGAGCGAUGGAGUAUGGCUUCCUCCAGAUAAACAAUUGAUUUGUUAUUUGACAUGUACAAACGACAAGGUAGCUAAAAUUAUAAAAGACAACAUGCAUUGCAAUUUGCAUGUUACUGAAGAGAAAAAAGGUCCACGGUAUUGUCCAAGUAUAGAAAGUAAAAUUCUAAAAUUCGGUAAAAGCAGUCAUUUUAUUUGGUUGGAACCAGAAGGAUUGGAUUCGCCAUUAAUAUAUCCAGGUGGUUUGUCAUGUACAUUACCUGCUGAAAAACAACAAGAGUUGGUUAAUUCUAUACGUGGAUUGGAAGAAGCUAAAGUAGAAAAGCCUGGUUAUGGCGUAGAAUAUGAUUACAUCGAUCCAAGAGAAUUAACCGUAGAAUUAGAAACAAAAAAAGUUUCGGGAUUAUUUCUUGCUGGGCAGAUCAAUGGUACAACUGGGUACGAAGAAGCAGCGGCUCAGGGUUGUGUCGCAGGCGUCAAUGCAGCUGCUAAGGUUUUGAAAAAAAUACCAUUAAUUAUAAGUAGAACAGAAGGCUACAUUGGUGUCCUAAUCGAUGAUCUUACAACACAAGGUACAGACGAACCUUACAGAAUGUUCACUAGUCGUGCUGAGUUUCGAUUGAGUUUACGUCCUGAUAAUGCUGACUUAAGACUGACAGCGAAAGGUUACGAAUCAGGUUGCGUUAGUAACGAAAGAUUCGAUAGAAUGACAACAAUGAAAACGAAAUUAGAACAAACUAUACAACAGCUCCGUUCCAUUGUCCAAUCGAAUACCAAAUGGAGAAAAGCAUUGCAUAUGAAAAUGAGUAAAAGUACUCAAAAUAAAUCUGCUUUUGAUUUAUUGGGAAUGCCAGAUCAGAAUAUAGAAUUUACAAAAAUAGCCAAUUUAUGGCCAGAACUAUUUGGACAUUUAGUAAGAGAUCCUAUCUUCGAACGAAGAUUGAAGAUAGAAGCAACCUAUGCUUCUUUCAUCCAUCAACAAGUCAAAGUAAUCGACGAAGUUAGAAGAAAUGAACAAAUGUUAAUACCCCAUGACAUUGAUUAUAAUUCGGUGAGAUUAAAUUUAUCUACGGAAGAUAAAGAAAAAUUAAUGGCAGUACGACCGCGAACGAUCGCUGCGGCUGACAAAAUUUCAGGGGUAACACCAGUAGCAAUUGUGCGACUUUUACAAUACGUUAAAUAUAAUAGGAUAUAUGAAGAUAAGCAAUAAAAAAUCAUGAGUUCCGAUGAAACCGAACAUGCAGAGAGUUUCUGACAUAGCGAACUUUGCUGAUUUAAUUAGGGAGGGUUCGAAGGUUCGGUAAUUAUAAACUUCUAGGUACGGAAUUCUCUACUGAAACGUGUCUAGGGUAAAUGUCAUUAUAAGGUACAACAAAAAAUUCAUUUUAUGUUGUAAAAAAUGAACAAA